rnacentral:rRNA from 1 species
GAUGAACGCUAGCGAUAGGCUUAACACAUGCAAGUCGAGGGGCAGCACAUGAGUGGCAACACGAUGGUGGCGACCGGCGCACGGGUGAGUAACACGUAUGCGACCUACCUAUAACUGGAGGAUAGCCCCCGGAAACGGGGAUUAAUAUUCCAUAAAGUUCAGAGAUCGCAUGGUUUUUGGACUAAAGCUCCGGCGGUUAUAGAUGGGCAUGCGUGCCAUUAGCUAGUUGGUGAGGUAACGGCUCACCAAGGCUACGAUGGUUAGGGGGUCUUAAAGGAUGAUCCCCCACACUGGUGCUGAGACACGGACCAGACUCCUACGGGAGGCAGCAGUGAGGAAUAUUGGUCAAUGGGCGCAAGCCUGAACCAGCCAGGCCGCGUGAAGGAUGACAGCCCUAUGGGUCGUAAACUUCUUUUGUAUGGGAAGAACCCUCCUACGUGUAGGAGACUGACUGUACUAUACGAAUAAGCAUCGGCUAACUCCGUGCCAGCCGCCGCCGUAACAC